GGUAACUCGGUUACUUAGCUUCGGCAAUUUCCGUGCAUUCGGCAGACCGGAACCCAGGAUCGGUGCGGUGUCGCAGAAGAUGAAAGAACAAGGACCCCGGUCUGAAAAGAUCAAUGAAGGCUUUCACAAACAUAUGAAAAGAUAAAUGCAUGACCAUAUAAUGAUUGCAACAGCCUCCUGCUGCCAGCGACCACCAAGAGUUACAGCUGUUAAGAAGCAGCGAGAGUUUUGGCUUGCAGCUUCCCUCAGAGGAUGCUGGGCCCCAUGCGUGAUGUAACGUUUACAGGAAUGGAGUCAGCAUGAAGUGUUUUUCCUGAUAUGCAAGUGCAGCUGUCCCAACACCAAGUCCUUCCAAAGCACAGGAAUUAACAGGAGCCUUGCACUGCUUACAUUGUCCUCACCACCAAAGCAACCCUCCACACAAGGGCCUUCAGAAGAGGUAUGUCACAGAUCGCAUAGGGGAGAUAGAGGACCGCCUCUCCAGACUGACCAUCUGCACGGAACGCACAUUUCACAGACACAGACGGCACCCAGCCACCUUUCACUGGACCAAGGGAGCCAAGGAGGAAGUUCUCAGUGUGCAGAACAAGAGACGAUAGGGACAUGCCAAAAAGCCAGCAACGGACAGAAAGACGGACACGUGGGGGGGGCAAGACAUCAGGGCAGACCAUCUUGACAGGAGCCCCCCACCAAAGCAACGGCAGAACAUAAGUGCCAUUCUGAAAGACCAAAAGUGAUCAGGAGACAACAGUAUUCCAGUCAGCACACAAUCCCCAUCAAAGUAAACCAGGGUCAAGACAAAAAUGAAGACAAAUAUAUCAUUGGCUAGAAGGUGCUUUCCCGCCAAAGUUCAGGAACCUAGUCUCUGGUUCCUAUUUCCUGGGCCGACUUGACUGCAAACUUUUGUAGUUCCUGGUCACAUGUGCGUGUAGCUUUCCCACUGCAUAACAGGAACUGUGACCUUUAUGGUACGUUAGCAUGGGAGACUCAAAAACCUCAUAGGUUAAACUUCAUAUUCAAACUCUGUAUUGGUUCAAAACGCAACAGCAGUUUAUUUAUACGGCACGACAUGUUUAUAAAAUCGGGGUACAACCAAAGUUUAUCACCAUAAGCCACAUCCACUAGUUCUUCGAGUUCAGAAUACCUAUUCUCGAGUAGGGAGAAAAAAUAAAUAAAUAAAAAUAUAUAUAUAAUUUCCCCAGGAACUACUUUCCAAAACCUACAAUCUGGUUGAGUUCCUGCAGUAGGAACAUGACAAGUUUCUGGUCCCUGAAAAAAAGGUUCCUGUAGUGGGAAAGCACCUAAUAUUACAAUAUAUGCAGCAGCACUAGAAGCCAUCUGGGGAAACUGUACCUGAUGAAUGAUAUAGCAACCGUCAUACGGUGUAAUCAAAAUCACAUCCCUCCAUGUCACCUUCACAGAGUAACCACAGCUAGACGGCAGAUGGGAGAAGGGCAGAGGGGGGGCAUUUCCUGAAACAAUGCAAAGGGGACUCAUUAAGAUACCAGAGAAUGGAAAAUCUCUAUUACGCUUGUACUCCUUUAUACAUUCUUCAGUGCUGGUACCUCUAUCUAUUAGCAGAUGUUUGUAUGCUUGGCCCGGUGCAGUGAGCAUCAUCAAAUUGCUUUUGCACUGUACAACGGGCCUCAUUGGACUCCAUUUUCCGGCAGCUGUAUCACCGGAUCCAUGGUACGGGCCAAAGACCUUUCCUGUAACCUGCCUGCGGUUCCGCAGCCCUGUUAAAUUAGGCAACAACUGAUAAAGGCUGUACACCAACUUACCCCAAGUGUAUCAUAACCAAAUAAUGGAUAAUUCCUUUCGAGGUGACCCAGAAUAAAAAAAAAAUAAGAGCGUCACCUAAGUUUACUACAGAGCUAGUCUUAUAAUCAUCAUCAUAAGGGGGGUUUCUGACAUGUUGCCAAGUAAAUUCCAGUAUACUGCAUCUCAAUGAAAUAAACCAGUAUUUUGCAUGCUGAUCACAUUCAAAUAUUCAACAUUUUAAAACGGCAAUUAAGCACAAUGACGUCACACAGAUGGACGCACUCUCCCAGUUUCGCAAACUUCUGUCAAUUAGCUCGAGUUAGAUUUUCAAUACGAGAAAACAAAUGCACACACAUUUACAUGUCGGUAACAAUGAUUCUGAUGUAGCUAAAAUUCAGGUUUGUAGUGGAAUAAUAUACAUUUUUCCGUAUGAUUUGCGUGAGUCUGCAAACUUGUGAGAGAUGGCGACCCUGCUUUCGGUGUGCGUCGCUCUCUGACUUUUCAGUAUCACUGAUUAGGAGCCUCUUGCAUUCAUUUUUGCCCCUCCUUACAGUCUGCUGCCUUGGAACAUUAUGAAGCAGCCAAAAAUCCCGCAACCUUCUAAUAUUACCCACAACUGUAAAAAGAGCCCAAUUGGGCGGGAAAACCGCGGACCUGGCAACUCCGCGUGUCGCCGAAGCUCAGGCCUACUUGAGAGCCAUAGGGAACGCGAGAGAACAGUUAUUUAGAAACUACAGUACUCCGCUUGUGACUGCAAAUCCUGUAGUGCAAUAGUCAUUUUGGUUUAAAUGACGUCCAAUACAGUUAGACGAAUACAACUGAUCUUUCGUUUUUUGUAUGCGUCUUUGAGAAAUCCUUUACAUGGGUAUUGCGUUCUUAAAGAAUAAGGGGGGAAAAGUCAAAGAAAAUCCUACCAGGGCGGUUAACAAAUGUACUGGACUGCGAGGUCUCUUGGUGCUCGUACUCUUUGUGGAUCCAUUUCAGAAAGACGCCCUGGCUGCGUCCACCAUGCGUCGAUUUAAAAUCGCGUGAAAACACCAGCUUUCCAAAAGUGGCAUCUGUUACGGUAUUCCCACCACCAAGAUUACGCUUUAUGCUGGUGCUGACACGGUAUUCUCUACGUAGCGCGAAAGCACUCGACGUCGCCAAGCUUGCAUUUAAACCGCGACACGUAUUUACAAUGCAGACAAUUACAAUUAAAGCACAUGUUAAUACAACGAUCUGCUUGUCCUCCCAAGACAUGACAAGUUAGAAUGUUUACACAGACGCUCGAUCAUUGACAAUCACGCUU